rnacentral:tRNA from 1 species
UAGGCAGAAGCCUGCUGGUAUUAGGCAUCUAGCUGUUAAUUAGAGGUUUGUGGGAUCGAGGCCCACCUGUCUAG